rnacentral:misc_RNA from 1 species
UUGCGAUAUACGCUACAUUUCAUUCGCGUGCGAUAUGCCUCUGGCGCGAUAUGUGCCUUCGGCACGUGAGCGCACUG